UAUUAGUGGAUUGCAUUUCUACUCUUAAAAACUGGCAUGGGUGACAGAAUAACCAAACAGUAACACGUGAUGUGUCAUGUGUACCUCAUGCUAAUAUACAAGGACAAGCUUUUUAACAAUAAAAAUGAAUGAAAAUUUUAAUA
rfam:Gossypium raimondii Chr05_contig_28, whole genome shotgun sequence.